UUGGAGGGCAAGUCUGGUGCCAGCAGCCGCGGUAAUUCCAGCUCCAAUAGCGUAUAUUAAAGUUGUUGCAGUUAAAAAGCUCGUAGUUGAAUUUCGGGGUUCUACCGUCGGUCGGGCUACCAAGUCUGUACUGGUGUGUAGAAUUUUUACCUUCUGGGGAACCAUCAUGUUAUUAAUUUAGCGUGGUGGGAAACCAGGACCUUUACCUUGAAAAAAUUAGAGUGUUCAAAGCAGGCUUAUGUCUGAAUACAUUAGCAUGGAAUAAUAGAAUAGGACGGUGGUCCUGUUUUGUUGGUUUCUGAAUCACCGUAAUGAUUAAUAGGGAUAGUUGGGGGCAUUAGUAUUCAAUUGUCAGAGGUGAAAUUCUUGGAUUUAUUGAAGACUAACUUCUGCGAAAGCAUUUGCCAAGGAUGUUUUCAUUAAUCAAGAACGAAAGUUAGGGGAUCGAAGACGAUCAGAUACCGUCGUAGUCUUAACCAUAAACUAUGCCGACUAGGGAUCGGACGAUGUUAAAUUUUAUUGACUCGUUCGGCGCCUUACGGGAAAC
rnacentral:rRNA from 1 species